rnacentral:rRNA from 1 species
CCUACGGGAGGCAGCAGUGGGGAAUAUUGCACAAUGGGGGAAACCCUGAUGCAGCGACGCCGCGUGAGUGAAGAAGUAUUUCGGUAUGUAAAGCCCUAUCAGCAGGGAAGAAAAUGACGGUACCUGACUAAGAAGCCCCGGCGAACAACGUGCCAGCAGCCGCGGGAAUACGUAGGGGGCAAGCGUUAUCCGGAUUUACUGGGUGUAAAGGGAGCGUAGACGGCAGCGCAAGUCUGAAGUGAAAUCCCCUGGCUUAACCAUGGAACUGCUUUUGAAACUGUGCAGCUGGAGUGCAGGAGAGGGAAGCGGAAUUCGUGGUGUAGCGGUGAAAUGCGUAGAUAUUAGGAGGAACACCAGUGGCGAAGGCGGCUUACUGGACUGUAACUGACGUGGAGGCACGAAAGCGUGGGGAGCAAACAGGAUUAGAUACCCCUGUAGUC